GGGUGCGGUGGCACACACCUGUGGUCCCAGCUACUCUGGAGGCUGAGGCAGGAGGACUGCUGGAGCCCAGGAGCGAGAGCUUUUAUGAUGAUAACAGCAAUGCAUGAAGUGAAAAAAAUCAGCAGUCCUGAAGUGGCUAAAAUAUGCUAUUCUGGCAUAUUGGCUACUUAAGUUCAAAGCACUUGAAAAACAGAAGGUACGAGAAGGUCACUCUGAACUUCGUGCUGUUUUUUAAAAAGAAGUUGAAAUUGCCAUGUGAAAGAUGCCAUCCCACACUGGAGAAAAAGCAAGAUUUUUAUCAUCAAAGAUGAGAAGGUUGAGGCCAAAGGAAUUCUGCACAAACAAGCCUUGCUGAUGCUGGCCUGUCCUUCCAGGGGAUCAACAAGGGACUAAGGGACCAACUCACGAAUGCAGGUGGCUGUGUGGGUGAGACUGCGUUUGGCCUCUCAGCCUCCCUCAUAAGGGGGACAGUGGGAUUUGCAUCCAGGAGGGGUUCUGUCCCCCAGUAGGCUUGAUGUCAGUCUGCACCAACUGGGACAGACAGACACGGUGGCAGCCCUUGUCCCUCAUGUAAGCCCCACCGACACCCACAGUUAGGAGGCUUGUCUUUGUCAGGUGUAACUUUCCAACAUCAGUCUUGGAUUUCACCCAUUUUCCCACGAAUACCCUUCUCCGUUGCUUGGCUUUCAUUUACUUGUCAGAUCUCCUUAGUCUCUUGUAAUCUGCAAUUUCUUGUUUUUUUCCGCUAUCUUUCAUGAUCUCGAUACUUUUGCUGAGUGAUGGCCAGGUGUUUUGCAGAAUGUUCCUCAGGUGAGGUUUCUCCGAUGUUUUCUCGUGGUUCGACUGAGGUUACGAAUGUUUUGGAAGCACAUGAGCAUGCCCAAGUGGCCCUCCCAUCAGGUCGUGUGGGCGGGUACACUGGUGGUGGUCCCUUUCAUCGCUGGCGUGGGCGGUGUCCGCUGGGUCCCCCUGCCCCACAGUGCUCUUUGCUUUCCUUUUCCGCACUCUCUUUGCUAGGCGUGAGUCUCUAGGCCAGCCCGCACGGCUCCGGGAUAACUGCCACGCUUUGCCACCAUCCGUCCCCAUGGCUAUUCCCCGCUGGUGGACGGGCUGUGCCCUUGGCCCAGGUGGGCUGGUGAGUGCGUCCCAGUACGGGACACCGGGGCAUGCGGAGCCGGCAGUCUCCCUCUCCAGGUGAUUAGUUUUCAGAAUUAGAGACCCAGUGAGGGCACUUGUGCAACUCAUCACGUCUAGAAAGCCACCCUGUGGUGUGAGAGAAUGCCCCCCCCCCCCCCCCCCCGCCGUGGGCUCCAGUUCCUGCCUGUGUGAAAAGGGAUUAAUGAUGCUGACCUUGCAGGAAUCUGAGGCCCAAAGGAGACAAACCAAGAGGAGGACGUGGCCCAGGGCCGGGCAUGGGGUUGGCUCUUAAUAACUGUCAGUUUCCCUUUGCCUAAGCUCUGCUCAAGUCACCCUACAAAUGACAGUCUCCACACAGCACAAAUGACCAUGGGCUAAUUGUUUUCUUGGAGUGGGAUUUUAAGGCGCGUAGUGAGAAAACGUGCAGUUCCCGUCUCUGCUGUCUCCUGUUUCUUCUCUGGUCAGUGAGAGCCGGGAGAGUCUGUGUGGGGACCAUUGUUUACGGAGCCGUGACGUUUUCUCCCAAAUCCAAUGAGGUCCCAGUGUCCCUUUGUUAAGAGCUGUGUGCUUGGCCAAAAUCUGUUUCCCCUCCGCCUUCCUAACAGAAGUUCAGUUCUGGCCGAGUGCGUCUCUCACUCCCGCAUCCCGCAGAGAUGGCGAGCUCGCCGCCUGCUUCAGAGAGCGGAUUGCGGGGGCCUAAACCAACCACAGCAGUCCCAGUCCCAGGCCAGCAGCUGGUGCUGGACGGGCGUGUCACCCAGCUCUGACCAACACGUCGUGAGGGAGAACCUGGGGCCUUCUGGCAAAAGCUCGUCUUCUCUGAGGGAGCCACGGGAAGGCCACUCCCUCCUGCCUGCCCGGAGUGCCCUUGUGCCUGUGCACGACUGUGGCAGCCACCUAGCACCCACGCGGGCCGUCAGCCUGCAGACAAUGCCAGCACACCACGGAUGCCACUGCAGCAGGGUGGACAAACGUGGGCCCCCGUGGAUGUCACCCUGCAGACCAUUCUGUGCCAGGAAUUUCCCUCCCCUGGACUCGUUAUUAAGAGGGACAACAUUGUUCUCCUGGAAGGUAGCUGGAGCUGGGAUUCCCAUUGCUUACAGCAGAAAGCUAACAGGUACACUGGGCCCUUAGAAAAAUCUCCUUGUGAACAAGCAAGGAGAGUUUCAGAAUACUCCACCGGACUCUUACUAAGAUCUCUUUUCCACAUGGCUAAUGCUUUUAUCUGGGAGCUAAAGGUUACCAUCCUGAGACAAACCCCAUCAUUUUUCUCCGGGCUGCUGCACGAUCCGUCCAACUGGUAUUCUGCCAAUUUCCUCCCUGUCCUCGUGUCCACCUAUUGUCUAUUACUGGCACGGUAGCCACCCCCCUGGCCCAGCAGUUGGAGGGCAUCUCAUCACACACACCUAAACUUCGCUGCGAUGUCCUGGGACUUCUGCGAUCUGGUCCUACUGGGCUCUGCAGCCUCAUCUGGACUUUUUACUCCACCCAUCGAGCUCCAGCCACCGUGGGGACAGUUCUCGGAAGGACCCGGGGAGAUUCCUAACUCGGGGCCUCUGCCCAUUUGCUCUUCUUUGCCUGGGAUGCAUCAUCAUCCAUCAUCUCUUUGCGUGGCUGACCCUUCCCAACCUGCUGGUCUUGACAGAGGUGGUGCCCUCCAAGUGUCCCUGCUAUUGUGCGGGCUGAUGGGCCAGUGCCAAGACCUUAGCAGCACCCAAAGCCCUCCAAGGUACAGGCGGGGUUAAUUCUCCCAGAGGUCCAGACACCUCUGUACACCACCAUCACAUUUUUGUCAUGACCUCGAAGAGUGGCAAAUUGGUGAGGGUGGGAAAUUCUAUGGAAGAAGAUGUCUAGAAGGAAAGCGACCUGCCGAGUGACUGAAAUAACAAAGCGUCUCCAAGCGCCGAUGACGACGAUGCCACAGACAGAAAGGCUGCCGUUUACAGCGCCGGGUGCGCCGAGCACAGGGUGUCCUCUAACCCUGUGACAGCCCUGCAAGGCUGGUUUCAUUCUUCCCGUCUGGAAACAAAACUGAGCAAAGUGACGCUCAGAGCGACCGUGCGCCUUGCUGAGGCCUCUGAUCAGCAACCAGCGGGCUGGACUCCGGCCGCGAGCUGAUCCCAGCGCCUCAGCUUCACCCGCUGCGCUGCAGUGUUGCCCAGCUCGAGGGCCAGCUGCUCCCUGAACACGUCAGGAAGCAGUCGGCUUUUUGUGGGAGCCCAAUUUCCUCCUGGAACAAACUUCCUAAGCGCCCAUGCUUCCUAGUUUAUAAAUAGGGAGGCACCAUCAGUGCUGGUUGGGCACCUCCGUAAGGCGGCACUGACAAGCUGAUUCUACGCGCCCUUGCCAAGAGAGCAAACCUGGCAGGCUGGCAGACACGGGGAGCUCUGCUGCAGCGCGGGCUUUCGGGGGAGCGCUGAGGACGCUCUGCAGAGUGGCCGACGAUCAGUGUCCAGUCUGAGUGGGCAGCUGCAUGCCAUCCCAGCACUGGGGGCUGGCGGGGGUGGCGACAGUCUUCCGUGAACAAGGGGAGGAGUGAGCCCACAGCACCGAGACCUUAGGGACCAGGCUGGUCUGCACACUGCACCGUCUUAGAAGCCCAGAAAGACUAGUCUAGCAGCAAAUGCAAACUGAGACACUUUAGGUUUUGCUCCAGGAUUUGGAAGUGGUAUUCUCACAGGAGGGGCAAACAUAUCAGACAUUUAUUUCACCCUCAGGGCUGCAUUUUCCAAAAGUGCCCUCUAACAAUCAAAAAUGACCCAAACUGCAAAAUCGUGAUGGUCUACUUGCUUUGGAGGAUGGGAGUGCGCUUCAAACAUUAAGGUUGUAUUCUGCAUGUGUAAAUAAUGUUAUAAAUACCAAAGGUUUUGCAUGUCUGCUACCUAA